rnacentral:rRNA from 1 species
AUUGGACGCUGGCGGCAGGCCUAACACAUGCAAGUCGAACGGUAACAGGAAGCAGCUUGCUGCUUCGCUGACGAGUGGCGGACGGGUGAGUAAUGUCUGGGAAGCUGCCUGAUGGAGGGGGAUAACUACUGGAAACGGUAGCUAAUACCGCAUAAUGUCGCAAGACCAAAGAGGGGGACCUUCGGGCCUCUUGCCAUCGGAUGUGCCCAGAUGGGAUUAGCUUGUUGGUGGGGUAACGGCUCACCAAGGCGACGAUCCCUAGCUGGUCUGAGAGGAUGACCAGCCACACUGGGACUGAGACACGGUCCAGACUCCUACGGGAGGCAGCAGUGGGGAAUAUUGCACAAUGGGCGCAAGCCUGAUGCAGCCAUGCCGCGUGUAUGAAGAAGGCCUUCGGGUUGUAAAGUACUUUCAGCGGGGAGGAAGGGAGUAAAGUUAAUACCUUUGCUCAUUGACGCUACCCGCAGAAGAAGCACCGGCUAACUCCGUG